rnacentral:lncRNA from 1 species
AAACAUUAACCAUUCUAGAACUUAUCUUUUAACUCGUGUAGGUUAUCUUUAAAAGUAGAAUUAGCUUUUUUAUUCUAUCUUCGUGUACACUCAAGAUAAAAGGUUAUCUUUGACCAAUGAAUUUUCUAAUAAAUGGAUGAUCUUCUUUUAGAAUAUUACAUCAUAUGAAGUAAGGAAUUCAAAGUUACAAUAUUUUCAAAGGUGUUAAAAGAUACCUUAGUCAUUUUAUGGUGAGGAAUUGAUGUGGUUUUAUACGAGUCAAACAUUAUGAAUGUUAAUGAAAAUUUUAGUAAGUAAAAUGGAAAUAGAUGGUGGUUAAAAUUAAAAGGAAUAGUUUCUUGGAACAUUUUGAUAUUUAGAAAAAUUGUAGGAAAUGAAGGGAUUAUAGAUGGAGAAAGAAGAAAAAAAAAGGAAAAAUGGAGGGAGUGAUUGGAAAUAUAGAGGGUAGGGGAAAACAUGAUUUGAUUAGGUGAAGGGAAUUGUGUUGUUAUUAUUAGAAGUGAAAGUAGGAGAGUCAAAGGUCAAAGAGUGAAGAGAUUGAAUAGAGAAAUGUGUGGGGUCUACCUUUGUCUGAAGACCACCUUUCUUCCAUCUUUUAAUGUGUCCAAAACAACCACAACCUUAUUAUUAUCAUUAUUAUCUAUCAUUUAUCAUCAUAUUCAUUUUCUCUUUCAUUUAUUUCUGAUGUGGAUAAUAAUAUUCAAUGCUUAGUUACUACUUCAACAUGUUUGGUCCCAAUUCCCACAUAAUCAACCAUCUUCCUUAUCAAACACAUCUUACUUUUUUACCAAAAUAAAGCAUCCAACAUGAAACAUCAAAUACCAUUCAAUUUACGCAAAAGUACUCAUCACAACAUCACACUAUACUUUCUUACUCAACAUCUCUUCUUAAUUCUAUAUUUAUAUUUAGUCUUCAUAUCUUAACUCUCUAACUUAACUACAACAUACCUCUCAUUCUCACUUUUUACUAAUCUUAUACAUUUCUAUUGCUUGAACCAAUAUUACAUGCGUCUUCAAUUUUUCCUCUAUAACAAGCUGUAGAAACGACAUAUAUUUGCUUAGUAUGUGUUUGAUUUAUGGGGGUGUGUAUUCGUAAAUACUCUCUCAAAAGUUAUAGAAAAUGGUUAGUUGAAAUGUGAAAAGCUCAAAUGAAACCAAGCAUAAAAGAAAAAAGAAAAACUAUUUAAAACUUGUUUAUUUAUAUAUAAAGAAAAAAAAGUAGAGAGGAAAGUGAUAAGAAGGAGGAGGAGGAGGCGUGAGGAUUUAGUUAGAGAGAGACCGUGAGGCGGCAGAGGCCACGCUUGAGCGUGACUCAGUUGUCUCCGGUCAACCCUGCAGUUCUUUUCUUUUUCCUUCUUUUUUUUGUUUUUUUUGGUUCUACACCUCCUUCCCUCUUCCACUCCACACGUGCUCCUCCCUCUUCUCCCAAUUCCCUACUCUCACACGUGUGCCCCAUUUCCCACUCCUUCAAACUUUAUUCCCUUCCAUUUCAAUUUCCCUCUCUCCCUCAUUAUUUUAACUUAUCCUCCUUCCCAUCUUCUUCAUUAAUAUGUUAUAUGUCUAUACCUCAAAAAAACACAUUUACAAACCCAUACCACACUUACUUAAUACGUAUUUCAUGCGUAAACUAUUUUAUAUAAGAAAGUAAUGACGAUGAAACAUUAGUAAAAACGAUACCAAAUAGUAAACAUUGUAACAAAUGAAUGAUUUGAUUUUGAAUUAGUGUUAGUUGUUGCUAAUUG